rnacentral:rRNA from 1 species
ACCAAAUAGCUAGCCCCCUAGACAACUUCAACACACCACUAUUAAUACCCCUAAAUACACAAGUUAAGAUUUAACAAAUCAUUUUCCCCCCUGAGUAUGGGCGACAGAAAAGGGCCAAAGGCGCGAUAGAGAUAGUACCGCAAGGGACCACUGAAAGAGAAAUGAAAUAACCCAGUAAAGUACCAAAAAGCAGAGCUAAACCCUCGUACCUUUUGCAUCAUGAUUUAGCCAGUGAUUUUCAAGCAAAAGGCCUUUUAGUUUGUGAACCCGAAACUAGGGGAGCUACUCCAAGACAGCCUAAUAAUAGGGCAAACCCGUCUCUGUUGCAAAAGAGUGGGGUGAGCUUUGAGUAGAGGUGACAGACCUACCGAACCUAGUUAUAGCUGGUUGCCCAAGAAAUGAAUAGUAGUUCAGCUUUACGGCUUCUCCCUUCUCAUCAGUACAUGCAACCCCUGAUAUUUUAAGAAACCUUAAAAGUUAUUCAAAAGGGGUACAGCCCUUUUGAAACAAGACACAACUUUCCCAGGAGGGUAAAGAUCAUAAUUACAUAAGGUAAUUGACCCUGGUGGGCUCGAAAGCAGCCACCCCUUAAGAAAGCGUCCAAGCUCGCAAGAAUGUUGCCCCUCUCCCAAUUCUGAUCAUUUUAUCUUACCCCCCUAAAUUUAUUGGGCCACCCCAUGCCAACAUGGGGGUGACCAUGCUAAUAUGAGUAAUAAGAAAGCUAUGGCUUUCUCCCCGCACACAUGUAAAUCGGAAUGGACCCCCCCCCCACCGAAAAUUAACGGCCCCAAUUACAGAGGGCAGUGGAUGAUAAACCAAAUAACGAGAAAAUUCUCCAACCGCCAACCGUUAACCCAACACAGGUGUGCCCCCAGGGAAAAACUAAAAGGGAGAGAAGGAACUCGGCAAACACAUAAAGCCUCGCCUGUUUACCAAAAACAUCGCCUCUUGCAAAUAAUGAAUAAGAGGUCCCGCCUGCCCUGUGACUAUUAGUUUAACGGCCGCGGUAUUUUGACCGCGCGAAGGUAGCGCAAUCACUUGUCUCUUAAAUGGGGACCUGUAUGAAUGGCAUAACGAGGGCUUAGCUGUCUCCUCCCCUAAGUUAAUGAAAUUGAUCUUUCCGUGCAGAAGCGGGAAUAGACACAUAAGACGAGAAGACCCUAUGAAGCUUUAGACAUAAGGUAGUCCAGACUACAAAAGCCCUCCAAUAAGUGAAUAAACCAAAAGGUUUUCUACCCCGAUGUCUUUGGUUGGGGCGACCGCGGGGAAAGACAAAACCCCCAUGUGGAACGGGAGUACAACUCCUUUAACUCAGAGCCGCAGCUCUAAGAAACAAGAUUUUUUUUGACCUAAAGAUCCGGCAAUGCCGAUUAACGGACCGAGUUACUCUAGGGAUAACAGCGCAAUCCCCUUUUAGAGACCAUAUCAACAAGGGGGUUUACGACCUCGAUGUUGGAUCAGGACAUCCUACUGGUGCAGCAGCUAUUAAGGGUUCGUUUGUUCAACGAUUAAAGUCCUACGUGAUCUGAGUUCAGACCGGAGUAAUCCAGGUCAGUUUCUAUCUAUGAUAUAUUUUUUUCCAGUACGAAAGGACCGAUUAAAGGGGGUCCCUGUAUUACAUACACCCCGCCCCCGCCUGAUGAAAACAACUAAAAUAGACAGGGGGGAUGUCUUCUCCGCCAAAGAAAAUGGCAC